rnacentral:lncRNA from 1 species
UACACUCAAAGCAAAUCUGUGUGGGGAUGAAGAGUCAGGAUCCAAUGGCCAUCUGUUUUACCAACAGGAGAAAAGGAGCUCCCACACUGGUAGAGUAUUCCCAGCAUGGUUUGACAAUGGGAUUUAAUCAGGCUUCAAGGCAAAACUUCAAAGGUUUGAGUGACAUCAGCAUCAUGGCGGAGUGAGCUGUUGCCUGAUAUUCUCCUGUCUGGUAUACAAAAGAGGAUAUUUAGAUACUAACAGAGGACAUUCACACAGCACAAAAGAUGUCUCAGAGAUGAAAGCAGCCACAUGUCUGAAGGUGGAGGUACUGGAUCCCUUGGAGGAAAGGGAAGGAGCCCCCCGGUACAUAGUUGUAUAUUCUUCGAUGUGGGUCCUUCUACUUGUGGCAUGUGGGACGCUGCCUCAACGUGGUCUGAUGAGCAGUGUCAUGUCCGCGCCCAGGAUUUGAACCAACGAAACACGGGGCCGCCUGCAGCGGAGCGCGUGAACCUAACCGCUCGGCCACGGGGCCAGCCCCAAAAUGCAACUGAUUUUUAUAAUCUAUUCAGACAUCCCAUUUGGAUCGACUUCCCUGAAGACACUUACUCUUCUCGAGAAGAGGAAUUAGUGUUAAACGUGAGUCAAUCAAAUGAUAGUACUAACUGAAGGAAGCCAGCCUUAUGAAGACACCCUUCUGAGUUUCCUUUACUUCUCCAAAGCCUGAGCUGUGUGAAGGAUAUGUCAGAAAUGGUAAUAUAAAGCAGAAUCUACUUUUCUGAACUCUGAGGAUAAAAAGAAAGCUGUUUAUUUUACAAACUGGGCUCAACAUCUCUGGAUAUUAUGAGAGGUUUCCACAGGGCCCCAGGAAUAGAGAAGAUAGUAGUGAACACCUUUUAUAAACCCAUAAUUCAUUUUAUGAGUAUUUGAUUUUGGUGAGGGUGGGAGAGUCAGAUGCGGGAAGAAGAUUGGAAGAAAACUCUUUGUGGUCUCAGAUAGAGGCAGAGUGACCCGUUGUAUUUUGAACAUGAGAGUGUCAAUUAGUGGUUACCUGGUAGCUCAUCUGUGUUAGAUAAUAUCUGACUACCCAUUCAGUUCCUGAGAGUAAGAAAGAUCAAAGUUGGAGAACUGUUUCUAAAUUAAUUCCAAAAUCAUCAUUAUGUCCUUGCCUUUGCA